GUGCCUCUGUAUUUCAGGAAGCUCUCCCAUGAUCUGCAAAUGACUUUCCCUUACACUAAGAAAGUUGGGGCUUAUUUGGUUGGCAAAAUGAUCAACAAGGGUCCUUUUGCCAAAGUCAUAGAAGGGCUGGGUCUCCCCAUGGGUGAAAAGGCAAGUAGCCAUCAAAGGCAUUAGCAAGAAGAAAGCCAAGCAAGACUCCUAUGUUCUAAAGAAUAUAAAGUGUGAAUCUUGGAUCCAGUAAAUUGUCAAAUACCCUAAUGCUUCCCAGCUACAAACCCUGGAGACUAAGAACUCUUAUUAUGUGAUGAUGGAGCUAUGCCUCAGUGGCAACCUCAUGAACAGGAUCUGGGAUCAAAAGAAACUAAGUGAAAGGGAAGUGAAGAUGAUCUUCAGGCAGAUGUUGUCCGCAAUGGAGCAUGUGCACUGGCAUGGAAUGGUACACAAGGGGCUUGAAGAUUGAAAAUUUUCUUGUGGAUGUACACAAUAUCAAAAUUGAGCAGUUAAGUACUCAGGGUGGAAGUCCUGCCUAUGCGGCCCCUGAACUGCUUGCUCAUCAGAAAUAUGGCCCCAAAGUGGAUGUCUGGUUCAUGUAAGUAUUUCUGAUGCUGACUGGCACCUUACCGUUCACAUUGGAGAUAUUCAGUAUUGAGCAACUCUAUCAGAAGAUGGUGAUUGGUGCAAUCAGCAAUGUCCUACCUGAAAUCUCCUUUGGUAAUUUACUGUGGUCUCUAAGUUUGGUAGCGAAGCUCAAGAACAACAAAAUGGCCAGCUUCCAAGAGCACACAGCAUCUUGGGUUACUUUGGGGACUUCUCCAUUUUUUUUUUAAGAACCCAAUAUGAAUCUUAUCCAGGAAAAUCUGUAUCCCAAUAUGGCAGCAAUAGCAACCCACAAUAUUCAUUUGAGAUAUUUUGAGGUAACAGCACCAAGGGUUUUAUAAGAACACGAGUGCUCCAUACUAUCUCUGAAAGGCUGCCAUUUUUACUUAAAGGUCUUCAUGUUGA
rnacentral:lncRNA from 1 species